UUUAGGGAGACCUACACCCCUCAGAAAUCGAAAAGCAAACAGCUAUAUAGAUACUGAGUUGGUCUAACCUAGGUCGGUCGCAGACAUUUGCAAUAUGUUGAACGCUUUCAAACUAUGAUGAAGGUUCGAUAUGGGCUAUUAGCUCAGUUGGUAGAGCGCCUGCUUUGCAAGCAGGAUGUCAGCGGUUCGAGUCCGCUAACCUCCACCUGUGGCGAUUGCCAUUGAUGAAAUAGAGUGAGAAACCAGCAACAUGACUUAAUUGAGUCAGACUGCUGAGUCAGUUCUCAGCCAGAACCUUGAAAACUGUAUAGUAACGCGAAAUUAGCAGGCAGACACAGACAUUCCGAAAGGAAUUGAUUGUGAAUGCAAAAGUUAAAAGACCAAAAGAAUUGAGU
rnacentral:misc_RNA from 1 species